UGUAUUAGACGUGUGAGGUCGUUUGUUUACUCUUGAAUAUCGGCAAAAAUUUAACAUUUCUGCUACUUUGAGCUCAGUUUCAAGCCAUUUCCAGUGCUAAAACCAAUCAAAAUCAUCUCUAUUUCUGUAAUAUGUCUUCCAUUCUAUCAAAUGAGACCAAGAAAUCGCAAAUACAACUAUAAAAAACAUACGAAAAAACACUGCAAAGUUGCUGUUUUAAUCGAAAAAUCAUGAUUUCAUUUUUUUUUCUCUCAUUAUACACAGUGUGCUGCAGGAUCUGUUUUAUGUGGUGCACACAUACCACAUAGAUGUAUUCUCUCAUAUCUAGGCCCAAAUGUACCACUCACAGUUUAUCAGAGUGAGCUGAGCUCAUGGCGUAGAUCUACGGUUUGGACCCUGAACGUAAAGCCGUAGAUCUACGGGACGGACCCUGAAAGGGUUAAAGAGUCAGGGUACUAACCUAAAAUCAGUACCUGACCAGCCAGGCUGUGGUUCAUACGUUGGAUCAUGUGUGGCCAGCAGUAACAGCCUGGUUGAUCAGGCCCUGGUCCACUGUGAGGCCUGGUCAUGGACUGGGCCCCUGGGGCUUUGACCUUCAGAACACCCACCAGGUAUACUCUAGGUAUACCUCUGGCAAAAUGGUGAUGGCAUGAGUGAUUGUGAAAGUGUUUCUUCUUUUUCAGGUCACCCUGCUACCUUGGUGGGAGAUGGCAAGUGUGUUAAAAGAAAAUGGUAGAUGAGUAUGAUACAUGUUUAACUUUUAGGUACAUUAUCUUUAUUUCUGAAAGGUUUUGCCUACGCAUUACUUUUCCAUAAUCAUGUAAUCCUUAAAACAAUUAAAUUCAGUGAAAGUGUUCAUUGUAAUUCCUAAAUUUAUUGUUACAACCACUUAGAGACUGUAUGUACAAGCAGUCAAUUAAUUCCUGCCUUAUUAGUCAUAAGAUAGGUGUAAGUUUGCCCAAAAUGCUUUCUAUACAAAGAGGCUUUUUUGCAUGCACACCUAAAUGUCACUCACCUCUGUCCAAACAUCAUAUGUUGAAAUAAAGAAUCUUUAAUCUCUUUUUUCAGUGAAAUACAGAGGUGAUUAAAUAUGAAGACAGUAGAAGCGGUGGAAAAGAAAACAUAUGAUCAGUCUAUCACUCCAGAUGAAAUAAUUUUGAGGUGCUCAGUCACUCAACCUGGAGAAGAGCUCAACUCCAUAGCCUUGAACAAUAGUUACCUCUUUAUUUGACUGAGGAAGCCUACUGCAUAGGUUAAACAUUUCAAAAACAAAGAUAUCUAACUGUUGCACAUAUAGGUGAAAUGUUUCAGAAAUAAAAAUAUCUUAAUUGUUGCAUGUGUCUUACUCAUCUAUGUUUUGGUAUUACAUAUCAUUAUUAUCAUACGAAACUGGCUCCAUGUAAUAGUUAAAGCCUCAAGUGCAAGUUUUCCUCGCUAUAUGGGUUUUCUUUAUAUGAAUUUGCUAAUAUGCAGUCUUAUUUCUAUUUAAUUAUGUUUGUGCAUAAAUUUGCUGUGUGCAACCGGUGUAGUUUACAAAACACACUGAAGAAUGUUACUUUGUGAAAUUGGGUGUAAAUGAAUGUUAUUUUAUGAAACUGGGUGUUGAUGUCCUCACUGAGCUUAGUGCUACUGCUGCCACAUGUGCAGAAUGCACGUAUAUCAUGUACAGCAAGGGACACUUAUAAUUUGGCUUGUACAUGAACUAGCACAUACAUAAUGGGUAAUUAGACAAACAAAUAUUGUAGUAAAGGGAAUAUGCUGCUUUACACUGCAUGUACCUAAACUCAAUAUUUACAAGGUUUACUUUUUUAAAGUCUUAUAGUCCAAUUAUUUUUAACCCAAAAUUAGACAUAAUAACAUAAAAGGAUUUGUCUGCCAAGUGUCUACAUUUUUCUACAUUUUGAAGCACUUUUGAGAAUAUGUACAUUUUUAUUUACAUGCAGAAUUUUUCCUCCAGGUCAUCCGACUUGUUUGCAGUUUACAGCUCACAUGAUGGUCUCAGUGAGACAGUACCGAUGGCAGUGCAUUGAAUGUAAAUGCUGUACACUCUGUGGCACUUCUGAGAAUGAUGACCAGCUUUUGUUUUGUGAUGACUGUGACCGAGGUUACCACCUUUACUGUUUGCAUCCUCCACUUCAAGAACCACCUGAGGGAGAGUGGUCCUGUGAUCUUUGCCUCCAACAAUUCCACACUAAAUGAUGAAGCUGCAUUGUGUACUUGUCUCCCACUUGUCUUUGUAAGACUGAGGGUCUACAGUCCUCUCUGCACCACUGUUGAUAAAAUGACAAAAAGGCUUGUAAUUAAAACAGCAAAUGGUUUGAAAGUUAUUAUUAUUAUUAUUGUUGUUGCUGAUGACUAAUAUUUUCUUUUAAGACCAAUUUAAAGAGAGCCUUAAAUCUGUCUCUUCAUGGUCUAAUAAAUGCCAGUAAGAUUAUAAGAGGAGCGGGAAAAUAAAAAUGUGCAUGUCAUGGACUGUAUAUUACAGUAAACAAAAACAUCUUUUUACUAGUAAUGUACUUUUGUACAGUACCAUAAUUGGCCUUUUCUGUGGUUCAUAAUAUUAGCAAAGUUUAAACUUUAUGAAAAUAUAAGACUGAUUUCUACAAUGCCUUUAAAAGGCCUUGAGUUAUUUCCUAUGUAAAUUUAAAACUGCUAUUAUUGAUAAUGCCUAUGACUCUUGACUGUUAGUUAGGAAUAUGUAUGUUGCAUGUCAUAAUCACUAGCAGUCCAAUUGUUGCUUUUAAAUUUAUAAUUAUGAAAGCAAUGUAGUCAUCCUAUAGAUUAAUGUUGGAAAUAUGUGAUAAGUUGUAGAUCAUAAAAACUACUGGCUUCUUUAUAUAAUGGCUCAUAUGAGAGAGACAAAGGCUGUUAAAUCUGGGAUAAGGUAGUUUGUGAAGAUUA